GCCUGGGUGGCUCAGUCGGUUGAGCAUCCAACUUCGGCUCAGGCCAUGAUCUCAUGGUUCGUGGGUUCGAGCCCCGCGUCAGGCU
rnacentral:tRNA from 1 species